rnacentral:rRNA from 1 species
AGUAUUUUGACUAUACAAAGGUAUUGAAAUAAGACUUUAAUUGAGUGCUAAGAGAAUGGAAUUUCAUAAAAUUUCUUUUUUAAUUUUAAAAAUUGAAAUUAAUUUUAUAUGUGAAGAAACAAUAAUAAAAAUUAAGGACAAGAAGACCCUAAGAAUUUUAAAAAUUUCAAUAAAAUGCUGUAUUUUACUGAAAUUUUUUAAUUGGGGCGAUUAUUAAAUAUUAAAAACUUUAAUUUUUUUAAAAAAGAACCAAUAAUAUUGGUUAUUUGAAAAAAUACUCUAGGGAUAACAGCGUAAUAAUUUUUGAUAGUUCUUAUAGACAAAAUAGUUUGCGACCUCGAUGUUGGAUUAGGAUUCUUUUUUAAUGAAGAAGUUAAAAAAAGAAGUUUGUUCAACUUUUAAAAUCCU